GCGUGCUCGAAAAUGUUAAAGUUCUUAUUUCAUGGUAUAACUUUGGUAUGCUUGGACCUAGAGUCUUCAAACUUGACAUGAAGGUUGGCCAGGAUUAACAGAUGACCACUGGUCAUUUCAAGGUCAUUCAUUUGAAGGUCAAGGUCACUGUUACCUUCAAUAUAAAAAAUGUUAAAGUUGUUAUAACUUUGGUAUGCUUGGACCUAGAGUCUUGAAACUUGACAUGAAGGUUGGCCAUAACUAGUUAGUAACCACUGGUCAUUUCAAGGUCAUUCAUUUGAAGGUCAAGGUCACUGUGACCUUGAAUGUAAAAAUGUUAAAGUUCUUAUUUCAUGUUAUAACUUUGGUAUGCUUGUACCUAGAGUCUUCAAACUUGAAAUAAAGAUUGGCCAGUACUAGAAGAUGACCACUGGUCAUUUCAAUGUCAUUCAUUUGAAGGUCAAGGUCACUGUGACCUUAAAUGUUAAAAUGUUAAAAUUGUUAUAACUUUGGUAUGCUUGGACAUAGAGUCUUCAAACUUGACAUGAAGGUUUGCAAGCACACUUAGAUGACCACUGGUCAUUUCAAGGUCAUUCAUUCUAAGGUCAAGGUCACUGUGACCUUGAAUGUAAAAAUGUUAAAGUUCUUAUAACUUUGGUAGGUAAAAAUGUUAAAGUUCUUAUUCCAUGUUAUAACUUUGGUAUGCUUGUACCUAGAGUCUUCAAACUUGACAUAAAGGUUGGCCAGUACUAGAAGAUCACCACUGCUCAUUUCAAUGUCAUUCAUUUGAAGGUCAAGGUCACUGUGACCUUCAAUGUUAAAAUGUUAAAAUUGUUAUAACUUUGGUAUGCUUGGACCUAGAAUCUCAAACUUGACGUAAAGGUUUGCAAGCACACUUAGAUGACCACUGGUCAUUUCAAGGUCAUUCAUUUCAAUGUCAUUCAUUUGAAGGUCAAGGUCACUGUGAACUUAAAUGUUAAAAUGUUAAAAUUGUUGUAACUUUGGUAUGCUUGGACCUAGAAUCUCAAACUUGACGUAAAGGUUUGCAAGCACACUUAGAUGACCACUGGUCAUUUCAAGGUCAUUCAUUUGAAGGUCGAGGUCACUGUGACCUUGGAUGUAAAUAUGUUAAAGUUGUUAAUACUUUGGUAUGCUUAGACCUAGAGUCUUCAAACUUGAUAUGAAGGUUGGCCAGAACUAGUAGAUGACCACUGGUCAUUUUAAGGUCAAGGUCACCGUGACCUUGAAUGUAAAAAUGUUAAAAUUCUUUUUUCAUGGUAUAACUUUCUUAUGCUUGGACUUACAGUCUUCAAACUGGACAUGAAGGUUGGCCAGCACUAGUAGAUGACAAUUGGUCAUUUUAAGGUCAUUGAAGGUCAAGGUCACUGUGACCUUGAAUGUUAAAAAUUAAAAGUUGUUUUAACUUUCGUAUGCUUGGACAUGGACUUUGCCAUGACUAACAGAUGACCACUGGUCAAGAAAACAAUAAAUAGUAUUAUUUCAUCUAAGUUUAUUUUCUUACAUUUGAUAAUGAAAUUGAUGGAAACUUCAAACAAUAUGUUACUAAUUUGCUAAUAAAAAAAUUGAGAUCAAACUUUCCUAAUUGUCAAUUCAAGUUCAUAUUUGUGACCUUAAAUGUUAUUGUUGUUCAUGUAUAUGCAUGCAUUCAAAACAUAACACAAGGUUUGCUCAUGCCUUGAAAAGUACUUACAUUUCAUUUUGACCUUUGAACAAUAUUUCAGUAAUUUAAGUAUUGCAUUGACAAAAACACGAAAGGUACUUUCCUGUCAUUUAAAUCAAAAAUCCGGCUUCAAUGCGGUCAUCUCCGACCGCGGAACUCUUGUAUAAUGUAUUCAGCCUUGUUGCUUGAAAUUAGAUUUUAUAUAAAUAUAUGCAUAUAAAUAUAUAUAUAUUUAUAAUAUACAUGAUGGUGUUCUGAGAAAACUGGGCUUAAUGCAUGUGUGUAAAGUGUCAUCCCAGAUUAGCCUGUGCACAGGCUAAUCAGGGACGACACUUUCCCUUUUUAUGAUAUUUUUAGUUUCAAUGAAGUCCCUCCUUACCGAAAAUCAGUUCUAGGCGGAAAGUGUCGUGCCUGAUUAGCCUGUGCGGAGUGGAAACGCUGAUCUGGGAUGACACUUUAAGCACAUGCAUUAAGCCCAGUUUUCUCAGAACGCAACUCAUAUAUAUAUUUAUAUGCAUAUAUUUAUAUAACAUAUAUAUAAUAUAUAUAUAUAUAUAUAUAAGAAACACCCACUUAUUAUGAUUUGAUAAGGGGAAUUAAAUUCAAUUAGUAAUAACAAUGUGCUAUAACACUAUCACAGUUUUAUGAUAUUAUUUAAUUUUGCAAGAUUAUUUCUAAUAUUGUUAAAUUUAACAGUGUUUUAUGAAAUGUAAGUUUAUAUUGUUGUAAAAAAACUUAAGUGUCUACUAAAAUGUAUUAUAAAAUCCACAUUUUAAUUUAAUGUAUAUGUAAAAAUAGAACAUGAUCCGUUUGAUAUGGGAAUAACUUAUUGUGUUUUUCAUAACAUUAUUGAUAUGCUCAAAUUUGAAUAAAGACUUUAAAACUGCAUUUGAAGUACAGACCAGGGUUUAUUUCAGAAAAGAAAGUUAAGUUAUAAAGUUACUGCUUGUAUAUUGUUCUUUGUACAUUUUUGGUGUAGAAUCUGUUCACUCUGUCUUCUAUAUUAUGAAAUUUCUUUAAUAUGUAUUAUCAAAAUCCGAACUUAACAAAAGUGCUAAUGACAUGUGGAUGUUUGUAUAGAUGUCCUGUUAGAAAUAAGAUUGAAACUGACCAUGGGAAGUGUUAUAAAGAUGAUUUAAACACAAAAAAAACUGUUUUUUAUCGUUGUUUCUAUGGUAACCAUUGGGUAACCAUGGCUACAGAUCAAUCAAAUGUGUAUACGGUAUGAUUAUUGUCAAACAAAAUGUGUGACCAGUUAACAUGGCAAAGUGUGUAUUAAUUGGACAGUUAAAACCAAUGUAACAUGUAAUGCAAGUGAAGUAAGUCAAUUUAGCAUUAUCAGGUCUUUUUUUGGUGUAGAAUCUGUUCACUAUGUCCUAUAUUAUGACAUGUCUUUAAUAUGUAUUAUCAAUAUACGAACUUAACAUAAUUAUGAAUGCUAUGUGGAUGUAUAUAUAGAUGUCCUGUUAGAAAUCAGUUUGAAACUGACCAUAUGAAGUGUUAAAAAGAUGAUUUAAACACAAAAAACCUGGUUUUUAUCGUUGUUUCUAUGGUAACCAUGGCAACCGAUCAAUCAAAUGUGUAUAUGGUAUGAUUAUCGUCAAACAAAAUGUGUGACCAGUUCACAUGGCAAAUUGUGUAUUAAUUGGACAGUUAAAACCAAUUUAACAUGUAAUGCAAGUGAAGAAGGUACAUUUAGCAUAAUCAGACCUUUUUUGGUGUAGAAUCUGUUCACUAUGUCUUCUUUAUUAUGAAUUUUCUUUAAUAUGUAUUAUCAAUAUCCGAACUUAACAAAAGUACAAAUGAUAUGUGGAUGUAUAUGUUGAUGUCCCGUUAGAAAAAAGAUUGAAACUGACAAUUUAAAGUGUUAUAUAGAUGAUUAAAACACAAAAAACCUGGUUUUUAUCUUUGUUUCUAUGGUAACCAUGGCAACCGAUCAAUCAAAUGUGUAAACGGUAUGAUUAUCGUCAAACAAAAUGUGUGACCAGUUCACAUGGAAAAUUGUGUAUUAAUUGGACCAUUAAAACCAAUGUAACAUGUAAUGCAAGUGAAGUAGGUACAUUUAGCAUAAUCAAACCUUUUUUGGUGUAGAAUCUGUUUACUAUGUCUUCAUUAUUAUGAAAUUUCUUUAAUAUGUGUUUAUCAAUAUCCGAACUUAACAAAAGUACAAAUGAUAUGUGGAUGUAUAUGUAGAUUUCCCGUUAGAAAAAAGAUUGAAACUGACAAUUUAAAGUGUUAUAAAGAUGAUUAAAACACAAAAAACCUGGUUUUUAUCUUUGUUUCUAUGGUAACCAUGGCAACCGAUCAAUCAAAUGUGUAUACGGUAUGAUUAUCGUCAAACAAAAUGUGUGACCAGUUCACAUGGAAAAUUGUGUAUUAAUUGGACCGUUAAAACCAAUGUAACAUGUAAUGCAAGUGAAGUAGGUACAUUUAGCAUAAUCAGGCCUAAACAAGUCAGCAAUGGGAUAUAUAACCUCAUAAAACAAUUCAGCACAGGAAUUUUCUUCCAACAUGCAUUUGACUUAAACGAAAUUUAGUACCAACCGAUGAGCUUGUGUAAUAAAAAUUAAUAAAAACCAUUACAUUCCAAAAUACUAAAACACAAUCCGAAACAUGAAUCUGUCAGACGUUUCGUCUGAUACCCAUGAUUAUAUGUGAAUUGUGUUAUUUUAACAAUAAGUCUUAACGAAAUAGUAACGAGGAAGGUAUGUCUAAUCCUGGUAAUGUUUGGUCUGUUGUUUUUUCUUGUAUGCACUUAAAAAUAACGGGCAAUGAAAUUAAAUCAUUAACAUGUAUUAAAUGUUUAUUGUUAUUAUUUUUACGUUAUUACCUUGUUCUCGGUUGAGCUGAAAUGCCAAAAACUAAUUUACAGGUGAUAAACAAACAAAUGUGUAUAUAAACAAAUAUAUAUAUCUUGUAAUAAAUUGCCAUUUUACAAAACAA